UACGUAGGGGGCAAGCGUUGUCCGGAUUUAUUGGGCGUAAAGAGCUCGUAGGCGGCUCACUAAGUCGGAUGUGAAAACUCCAGGCUCAACCUGGAGACGCCAUUCGAUACUGGUGUGGCUUGGAGUUCGUUGAGGGAGGCACGGGAAUUCCUGGUGUAGCGGUGAAAUGCGCAGAUAUCAGGAGGAACACCGGUGGCGAAGGCGGUGCUCUGGGCCGAAACUGACGCUGAGGAGCGAAAGCGUGGGUAGCAAACAGG
rnacentral:rRNA from 1 species